UCUACGGGUGGCAGCAGUGAGGAAUAUUGGUCAAUGGACGAAAGUCUGAACCAGCCACGUAGCGUGAAGGAUGACUGCCCUCUGGGUUGUAAACUUCUUUUAUAUGGGAGUAAAAUGUUCCACGUGUGGGAUUUUGUAUGUACCAUAUGAAUAAGGAUCGGCUAACUCAGUGCCCGCAGCCGCGGUACGACGAAGGAUCCGAGCGUUAUCCGGAUUUAUUGGGUUUAAAGGGAGCGUAGGUGGAUUUAUAAGUCAGUUGUUAAAGUUUGCGGAUCAACCGUAAAAUUGCAUUGGAUACUGGCAGUCUAGAGUUCAGUAGAGGUGAGCGGAAUUCGUGGUGUAGCGGUGAAAUGCUUAGAUAUCACGAAGAACUCCGAUUGCGAAGGCAGUUCACUGGACUGCAACUGACACUGAGGCACGAAAGUGUGGGGAGCAAACAGGAUUAGAUACCCCAGUAGUC
rnacentral:rRNA from 1 species